CAGUAGCCGCGGUAAAACGAAGGGUGCAAGCGUUACUCGGAAUUACUGGGCGUAAAGCGUGCGUAGGUGGUGGUUUAAGUCCGUUGUGAAAGCCCUGGGCUCAACCUGGGAAUUGCAGUGGAUACUGGGUCACUAGAGUGUGGUAGAGGAUAGUGGAAUUUCCGGUGUAGCAGUGAAAUGCGUAGAGAUCGGAAGGAACAUCUGUGGCGAAGGCGACUAUCUGGGCCAACACUGACACUGAGGCACGAAAGCGUGGGGAGCAAACAGGAUUAGAUACCCGCGUAGUCCCUGUCUCUUAUAA
rnacentral:rRNA from 1 species